UACUAUGGAGAGUUUGAUCCUGGCUCAGGAUGAACGCUAGCGGCAGGCCUAAUACAUGCAAGACGAACGGUAAGUUGAGUAGCAAUACUUGACCAAGAGUGUCGUAAGGGUGCGUAACACGUAUGCAAUCUGCCCUCAACAGGAGGAUAGCUCCCCGAAAGGGGAAUUAAUACUGCGUAAGAUUGUAGUUCGGCAUCGGACAGCAAUUAAAACCGAGGUGGUUGAGGAUGAGCAUGCGCAUGAUUAGUUAGUUGGCGGGGUAACGGCCCACCAAGACGAUGAUCAUUAGGGGAACUGAGAGGUUGAUCCCCCACACUGGCACUGAGAUACGGGCCAGACUCCUACGGGAGGCAGCAGUAGGGAAUAUUGGACAAUGGGUGCGAGCCUGAUCCAGCCAUGCCGCGUGCAGGAAGACGGCCUUCUGGGUUGUAAACUGCUUUUGCCAGGGGAUAAAAAGUCCCUGCGGGGAAAAUUGAAGGUACCUGGUGAAUAAGCCACGGCUAACUACGUGCCAGCAGCCGCGGUAAUACGUAGGUGGCAAGCGUUGUCCGGAUUUACUGGGUGUAAAGGGCGCGCAGGCGGUUUCAUAAGUCAGGUGUGAAAGCCCGGGGCUCAACUCCGGA
rnacentral:rRNA from 1 species